rnacentral:rRNA from 1 species
AGCGUAUAUUAAAGUUGUUGCAGUUAAAAAGCUCGUAGUUGAAUUUCGGAGUUUAUCGGUUGGUCGGGCUUCACUGUCCGCACUGACCUGAUUGAUUCCUACCUUCUGAAUAACCAGCAUGCUAUUAAGUUAGUGCGUUGGGGAAGCAGAGCUAUUACCUUGAAAAAAUUAGAGUGCUUAAAGCAGGCUUAUGCUUGAAUAGAUUAGCAUGGAAUAAUAAAAUAGGACGGCAUGGUUCUAUUUUGUUGGUUUCUAGGAUCACCGUAAUGAUUAAUAGGGAUAGUUGGGGGCAUUAGUAUUCAAUUGUCAGAGGUGAAAUUCUUGGAUUUAUUGAAGACUAACUUCUGCGAAAGCAUUUGCCAAGGAUGUUUUCAUUAAUCAAGAACGAAAGUUAGGGGAUCGAAGACGAUCAGAUACCGUCGUAGUCUUAACCAUAAACUAUGCCGACUAGGGAUCGGACGAUGUUAAUUUUUUAAUGACUCGUUC